GAUGAACGCUGGCGGCGUGCCUAACACAUGCAAGUCGAACGGAGAUUCCGGACGGAAGUUUUCGGAUGGAAGCCUGUAAUUCUUAGUGGCGGACGGGUGAGUAACGCGUGGGCAACCUGCCCUAUACAGGGGGAUAGCAGCUGGAAACGGCUGGUAAGACCGCAUAAGUCGGUUAAAUCGCAUGAUUUGAUCGGGAAAUGAGCAAUCAGGUAUAGGAUGGGCCCGCGUCCGAUUAGCCAGUUGGCAGGGUAAAAGCCUACCAAAGCGACGAUCGGUAGCCGGACUGAGAGGUCGGACGGCCACAUUGGGACUGAGACACGGCCCAAACUCUUACGGGAGGCAGCAGUGGGGGAUAUUGCACAAUGGAGGAAACUCUGAUGCAGCGACGCCGCGUGAGUGAAGAAGUAUUUCGGUAUGUAAAGCUCUAUCAGCAGGGAAGAUGAUGACGGUACCUGACUAAGAAGCCCCGGCUAACUACGUG
rnacentral:rRNA from 1 species